rnacentral:lncRNA from 1 species
UGAGGGUAAAUGUGUAAAGUGCAGAGGUGCUCCGGACACUAUAAAAGAGGGGCUUCAACCCGUUGUAAUUUUUUACGUUCGACAUUUAUUGAAGGAACGGUUCGCAUUCCUUUUCGCUCCACCAACCUCAUUGUGUCUAGCCUUUGUGAGAAGCUAGGACCCAACAGUUCUCAUGUAGGUAUGGUUACUUGAAACUAAUUUAUGCUAUUCCCUCAUUUAAUUCUCAAUGGGUCGUUCUCCUACUCGCAUGCCCCUAAACCAAGAUGGAUCAAAUUUUAUGUUUCAUUUGAUGAGAAUGUCAUUAGAAUAGUGCAUGCAUUUUUUAGAGUUUGAAAAUCAAUAUGGGACAAUUAUUAACAAAUAAUGUGAUCCUAUUUGGCUAUCUCUCAAAAGUCAGGAAAUCCUUGCUCACCUUGCCAAAAUUCAGACCAAUCAUCUUUUUCCUAAUAAAGGAUCGCAAAUGUUAGUCCGGCCUAUGUAAUAUUCCAAGAACAGAUCAUACGUCUGAUUGAUGCUAAUAUAAUACAUAAGAAGAACAUACAAAUCUUUCUUGCAUGGAUUACAAAAGGAUUAAGGUAGCAUAAAAGUUCACAUAACAUGUUCAUGAUUUAUCUUGCACUGAUAACACUAACAGAAAAGGAUUAAGAUUGCAUCUUCUCCUUUCGGGAUGAUUCCAUUGCGUCAAGGUGGCGUUGAACGUCGGUCCUUAGCACAUCCAACGCCGUGACGAACACCGGCAGCUCAUCCACCCCAAGAGCUUCCACGUCCACCUCCCACCAGUUCUGUUUCCCCACACUCGCCUGAGC